rfam:Pterocles gutturalis contig27858, whole genome shotgun sequence.
UGGCAUAAACCCGUAGAUCCGAUCUUGUGUUGAAAAGUACUGCACAAGCUCGCUUCUAUGGGUCUGUGUCAG